CGUAAAGUUUCAGAUCGGCCCUGAGCUGCAGGAAGCUGCUGGAGCUGCAAGAAAAAUCCCGUUUCUUCCAGAUGUGCCCGUUAUUCACAGGAGCCUGAGGAAUCCUUCCUGGGUAUAUCUGCCUCGUGCAGGUCUGCUGCGGGGAGGCAGCGCAUCCCUCGGCUGAACCUGCUCUUCCUUGGACGCAUCCAGAAGAGGGAAAGCCAAGCCCUGGGCGUCGAGAGGAAGCCGAGCAGCUCGGCGCUCGUGGGGUGUGCAGGGCUCCCAGCAGCGCCUCUCAGCCCCGGUCCCCUCGGACCGAUGCCUGCGCUGGGGGAAAUGCCUGGCGCGAGGAGGCACCAGCUAGUGGGCUUUCUGAGAAAAGAGGAAGCCGGGGGAGGGAGAGACCGGCAUCCCCGGGCCAGUGGCACCGUCACUACCAGGACGCGGCUGGCCGGCGCGAGGGGGAGCAGCCCGUGCUUCCGCGGUGGGGAGCGUGGGCGCGGGGCGCCUGCUUUCCCGGGAAGCCGGGGGGCUUUCCCGGCCGAGCAGAGAGGGGAGAGCCCGAGCUUCACCCGGCUCAGCCCGGCAGGGCAAAGCGCUGCCGCUGCUUUGCUCCUUUGCAGGCUGAACUGUAGGUUUCCUACCAAACUUUUUGUCCAUUUUUUUUAAUAAUAAUAAUAAAAAAGCAGGCAGCCCGC